GAUGAACGCUAGCUACAGGCUUAACACAUGCAAGUCGCGGGGCAGCAUGGUGGUUGCUUGCACUCCCCGAUGGCGACCGGCGCACGGGUGAGUAACGCGUCUCCAUCCUCCCCUUCACCACGGGAUACCCCGGCGAAAUUCCGCCUAUUACCGUAUGUUGUCCCUUGUCGGCGUCCGAUUUCUUCGAACCGUUUGGCGUUGAAUGAUGGGGUGGCGUCCGAUUAGCUGGACGGCGGGGUGACGGCCCACCGUGGCGACGCUCGGUAGGGGUGCUGAGAGGAAGGUACCCCAGACUGGAGCUGAGACACGGACCAGAAUCCGACGGGAGGCAGCAGAGAGGAAGAUUAGGCAAUGGGCGUAAGCCUGAACCAGCCAAGUAGCGUGCAGGAGGACGGCCGUAUGGGUUGUAAACUGCUGUUAUGCGGGGAUAAAGUGGUAAACGUGUGGGUUUUUGAAGGUACCGAAUGAAUAAGGACCGGCUAAUUCCGUG
rnacentral:rRNA from 1 species